rfam:Ordospora colligata OC4 contig_01, whole genome shotgun sequence.
GGUGAUGUGGCCGAGCGGUCGAAGGCGGCAGACUUAAGAUCUGCUAUCGUAUGAUGUCGUGGGUUCGAACCCCACCGUCACCA